GGCAAGAGCAGAGUAAUGGUUUGAGUGUUGGACUAUGACUCUAGAGACCAGGGUUCGAAUCCCGGCUCAGCCA